UCAAUUUGGGAUAGUCCAGAAUGUGUCGUUUGGUAAUGGGUUAAAACAAAUCUAUAUGGAGUUAUGGGUGAAAUGUUCAAUAUGAAAGGACGUAACUCAAUUUUGUCUCUAGCUGAAGUUGCGCUUUUUUUCGAUCAAGACCAGUGAUAUGCUUGAGCACGGGCGAAAUUAAAUGCCUUUCAUUUAAUUAUUAUAGAUAGCAGACAUUUUGCAUUUUAAAGCAGGCGAUCUUCGAGGGUAGUAAUACGUGGGUCUCUAUAUACGGCGCAAUAUUGGAGUUUUACAUCACGCCGAAAUCAGACCUGCAUAAUUAUGCUGUUGUGUUAUUUAGAUAACAGUACGUGGGAGACACGGAGCGACUUACGUGUUGGAAAUCGGAAUUUAAAAGGGUCUAAUCUAAACAUCAUGGCAUCCGCUAAACGGGACACAGAUGAUGAAGGCAGCACCGAGCUUCAUGAGAUCGCACGAAGUUGUGACUCCAAAAGUUUGGAAGAUGUUCAAGAGGAGUUGCUUGAUUGUCUAGGGAGUAUGCCUAAGGAUGCUGUAAGAGAUGUCAUUAAUCGAAAGAAUGUGUACGGCUACACGCCACUAAUGGAGCUGCUUUCUUGCCAUGAACCGAGUGUAACUCUUCUCCGUGUACUGAUCGAACACGGAUGUAACGUGAACAUUGCGGACCAUUUACAGAUCAGUUCUGUACAUAAAGUCGCAGCAAAGUUGUUUGUCAUACCGAGAAUCAUGGAUAAACAAUUCUUAUGUUCCGAGGAGAAAGAGAUAAUUGACCAACAAACCAGCAGUGAUAUUGAAGUAUUUAAACAACUUAUUGACAGUGGUGCAGACAUUGGCGAUGCAGAUAUAUUCGGAAGAAAUUCUUUAUUCGUAUCCAAUGAUGUUGAUCUUAUCCGCCAUUGUUUUGCACACGGGGCCGACGUCUAUGCCAGAGAUCGGUGGGGGAGAAGUCUACUUCAUACAGCAAUCACGAUGCCCAAUUACAAACAACUGAUGGACCUUAACCUUCCCAAACUUCGCCCAGACAUCAUCCAAUGUUCUGAUGUCCACGGAUCAACGGCACUACAUUAUGCAGCGUUACUUGGAAGAGAUGACAUAAGAGAUGAUUUAAUAAGACAAGAUGUGGAUCCUUAUGCAAUGAACAGGAUCGGACAAACCAGUUCAGAUAUAUUUGGCAUGCAUGAAGUCUACAUAAAACUAAAGAAACUAAAUGAAGUUCAUUUUAAUGAUGUAAUGCAAGCCGAAGACCUUUCCUACAUCGUGAAUAAACCAAAGAGUGCCGAAGAAUUAUGUCAUCUCCUUAACAAUCCAAAUUACGGUGGCGCUCGGAAUGGACCCGAAAGCUUCGUUAUCAAAGAAACCAUCGUCAGACUUGCUCAGAAAAUUUGCAGCUCACUUGGAGAAAUUGACAAACGGUUCGAAUGCACACUCUUUCGAACUGGCAGUAGCGAAGAAGGAACAAAAGUCGGUGAUCCGAAUGAAUUCGCCUUCGUCUUUUGUCUCGACAGGUUUGCAGAGAUGUGUGAUAUCGAAGAAGUCACGAAGCAUAAAGGUUUCGCGGAGUUAAAGGCACAUGGAGAAAUCCCACCAGAGUUUAGUGCGUUCUUUGACUCAAACCAGAAAUGUAGUGCCACAGAGGUCCGAUGUGUGUUUGGCAAGUUGCUCCGACGAAUAGUCGUGAAUAAGCCCAUGUGAUCAGGCGAACAGAUUUACUUUAAUGGGGAAAUACGCCAUUUUGAAGAGUAUGAUCGACCUGUGUUCACACUCAAAGUACGCUGGGUGGGAUGCUCAUAUAUAGACGAGGAAAUCAGCAUAGAUCUCGUACCGGCGGUACGUAAACACGGAUGGUGGCCAUCUAACACGGAUGUCAAUGCCAUCGACAUGAUGACAGACGAGAUUCGAUCAGAAGGGUGUUUGUUACUAUUACAAAACCCGUAUCACCUGUCCGAUACGGUAAUGAGAAUUUCCUGUUCUGCAGCAGACAUUUGUCGCUACCUGAGCAUUUUAGAGAAAGUUACCGUCUUUGCAAGCUGCUACGCCACAAGGACAUCUUACCUCUGAUAGAUCCAGAUGCAACCCACGAUAAAUUCUCGUUAUUUGAAGCUGGCGAUUGCGUUACAAGUUACAUGCUGAAGAAUAGCCUAUACCAUGUGCUCCGUCAAUCUAAAACCGACGGUUUAAUGGUCGAGCCGGAUAACCAAUCUACGAACAAUGCGAUUGUGAACAUCUCCGUUCGACUUCUACAGUUCCUUGACUGUAGUCUUCUCCAAAGGAAGUUACCGGUGUACUUUUUGCCCAAUAGAGAAGAUAUAUUCCGAUUCGAUUUAUUAGAAGUGUCCGAUUCAAACAAAGCGGACACUCUGAUUGUGUUUCAUUGUGCGCGUCGGCGAGCCUUUGUGAAGAUCAUGCUUCAUAUGCUCCGCCAUUAACUAUCAGGGGCGUAGCUAGACCAUUAAGGUUGUGUACUUAGUGAUGACGAACAUUUAAACUAUCAGGAAAACACUAUAUUAUUUCUUCGUGUCCAGCAGUUUAUUGAAGCAACUAAACGACUUGACUCGUAGAGCGAUGCUGCUGUGGACGCUGACCCGACCCUUGUAGGGGCCUCUGUGACACUACGCCUCAGUACCUUCUAAAUUAAAUAUCCAUUUCGUUUGUAUGACAUAUAUCCACACUACCAUGAUUCCGUUUUAACUUUGAACCCGAUCUGAUCACAAUCCUAACAAAUACGUGAGCGCAUCCAUGUUUUUGUGGCCGCAUAAAUGCAAAACGUAUAUGAGUCAACUUCGCCAUGGAAAAGAAUUAAUAUAAGCUUUAAGCUUGUUUUCUUAUCCAUGAAUUUAUACUUUGUAACAAUGUAUUGAAUUGUAUGAUUACGAAAUGAAUAAAUACGUUUAAACUAA